UACGUACCGCACGAACGUUAUUCGGAAUCACUGGGCUUAAAGGGUACGUAGGCGGCCUGGCAGGUGGGGUGUGAAAUCCCUCGGCUCAACCGAGGAACUGCGCUCCAAACCGCCAGGCUUGAGGAAGGCAGAGGUGAGCGGAACUGAUGGUGGAGCGGUGAAAUGCGUUGAUAUCAUCAGGAACACCAGUGGCGAAGGCGGCUCACUGGGCCUUUUCUGACGCUGAGGUACGAAAGCUAGGGGAGCGAACGGG
rnacentral:rRNA from 1 species